AUAGGCAUAGAGGGCGGUACAUGGUGGCUCAUGAUAGGACAAGGAGGCUCCAGGGAGGAAAGAGGAUGGCACAUGACAAGAGGCCGGUAAAUGGAGGCUCAUGGGAGGAUAAGAGGACAGUACAUGGAGAUCUGAGACCAACUGAAGCAUAUGUGACCAUGAGGACGGCGUGGAGACGAGUGUGCAUCCUUCUACCAAACAAGCAGAGCCUGGACUGUACCGUCAGGGUGAGAGCCAGAGGCCACGAAGGUGUUGAAUAGUGUGUUGAAGCAGCUUGGCGUCAGUGAACUCCAAGUCUUCGGUCUGGCUGUCCUCAGAGAUAAUGAAUACCUUUACUUGAUUUGGAGCAAAACUGAGCAAGUACUUUGACAAAAGAUGGAACAGAG